rnacentral:SRP_RNA from 1 species
UUGCAGCGGGUAAGUCCUAUACGACCAGCUCCCUUUGAAUCCCCCAGGGCUUGAUCGCAGCAAGGGUAUUUGGUUGUAGCGGUGCGAUGUAGUUAGCUUACCCACCU